rnacentral:tRNA from 1 species
GGGGCUGUGGUCUAGCUUGGUAUGAUACGUGCCCGGGGCGCACGUGAUCCGGGGUUCAAAACAAUGGUUUCGCCCAUUGACGACGAAGUAUGUUUCGCUUCGCUCAAGCAUACAGUAUCGAAACCACACCUGACGCUGUAAAGCGUCGCAACUGCAAGGAGCAUGAUGGUGUCGACGGAAAUGACCGUCGUUGGCGAAAGUCCUCGCAGCCCCA